GGUACCAAUGCAAAUAAUUCCAAACUUUCAACUCUAAUAGCAAAAUGUACCAAACAAAUAGAACACCACCGUUUACAAUAUUCGAGCUCUUAUUUAAUAGAGAAGAAUCUUAAACAAAAUACAGAAUGGAAGUUUUGAACGCUUAACAUAGAAAACAUGAAGAUAAUACUGCUAAUUGACAUCCUCAUCAGGAUGUUUAUUACUAGUAACUGAAAGACAUAACAAGAUGGCUCUAAUGCUUAGGGGAUGUUUAUUACUAGUAACUGAAAGACAUAACAAGAUGGCUCUAAUGCUUAGGGGAUGUUUAUUACUAGUAACUGAAAGACAUAACAAGAUGGCUCUAAUGCUUAGGGGAUGUUUAUUACUAGUAACUGAAAGACAUAACAAGAUGGCUCUAAUGCUUAGGGGAUGUUUAUUACUAGUAACUGAAAGACAUAACAAGAUGGCUCUAAUGCUUAGGGGAUGUUUAUUACUAGUAACUGAAAGACAUAACAAGAUGGCUCUAAUGCUUAAGCCUUCUCGAGCAGCUUCUUUAUGUCCUUCUGCAAAGUACGAAGGGAACAAAUUUUCAGUUCUUGAUUACCUUGCCAAUGCA
rnacentral:lncRNA from 1 species